rnacentral:rRNA from 1 species
GACGUAGGGUGCGAGCGUUGUCCGGAUUUAUUGGGCGUAAAGAGCUCGUAGGCGGCUUGUCACGUCGAUUGUGAAAGCCCGAGGCUUAACCUCGGGUCUGCAGUCGAUACGGGCUAGCUAGAGUGUGGUAGGGGAGAUCGGAAUUCCUGGUGUAGCGGUGAAAUGCGCAGAUAUCAGGAGGAACACCGGUGGCGAAGGCGGAUCUCUGGGCCAUUGACUGACGCUGAGGAGCGAAAGCGUGGGGAGCGAACAGG